rnacentral:lncRNA from 1 species
UAUAUAUGUAUGCAUGUGCAUUUUUGCAUAUGUAUAUAUGAGUAUGUGCAUGUGUGUGUGUAUUUAUAUGUAGGGAGUGACCCUGUUUAAAUGUUAACUGCCUUGUCAACCAUAAGUGCUUACUUACAAAUUUUUGGCCCUAGUGGAAAAGUACUAGCUUAGUUGAGAUUUCUGUGGGAAAUGUUGAGGCCCCUGUAGGAAAGUACUAUCCUCAGUUAAGAACAAAUAGCUAUAGAUCUUGUGGACAGGACCUAGCAACUCAUUCUGUUCUGUUCCUCCUGCUGAACUUUUUACCUAGCCAAUAUCCUGCUUUUGGGAACAGGUGGGUUCCCCCAGAAUCAAAGCGAUUCUGCGUCAUCCCCCUCCCCAUAUCCUGCUUCUGUGGGCAUAAAACCUGCCUGGGAAAAAUAAAAUUUGUCAGUUUGAUCAGAGGGCUUUUUUUUUUUUUUUUUUUUUUUUUUGACUUGCUGUCUGUUCUUUGUGUUUCCUUGUUCUCCAGUCUCUCCACAGGUGUUUCCCCAGACCCUGUUCAACUGUCCUGCGGGUCGGGACAAACUGGUGCCUGAACCCCAGGAGAUCACAGAGGAGAGAAUGCCGCUCUUCAUUGGAGGGUAGGCCUACCUCUCAUCUUGAGAAACGCCAGAAAGUGACUUUGGUUCCACAUGACGCCACUGAGCAACCUAUCUUGAGACAGUCUGGGAGGAAUAAAUAAAGGGGCGCAGAUCUUAGGAGAAAUACGAUGCUGCUCCAGACGAAGAUACUCAUGAUCUUGUGGCUGACUAGAAUAACCACCAACCUUCAACUGCCUCCCGCCCCCAAAUCUCCUAAUAAUAGGCACCUCCUUUGGAAUUACACUUGGAUGGACCUCUCAGAGAGAAAUGAUGUUGUUUGGACCCCUUGUAAGACCUCUACCAAUUUGACUCAUUCUUUUUACAGCAGGGAGGACUGUGUGCAGCUCUUAAGGAAGAGUGUUGCUUUUAUGUAGAUAAAACAGGAAUGGUUAAAGAGAGCAUGAGAAAAGUAAGAGAAGGCUUAGAAAAAAAGACAGAGAGAAAGAGAGAGAAAAAGAAGAGAGCUGGUAUAAAAAUUGGUUUUCAACCUCUCUGUGGUUGUCAAUCUUAUUUCCUUCCAUUUUGGGACCGUUAGUUGGAUUGUUUUUGCUUCUUUCUUUUGGUCCCUGGGCCCUUAAUGGACUUACCAGUUUUCUGAAACAUCAGAUAGAUGAUUUGGCAGCAAAACCUAUCCAAGUAUAUUAUCAUAAGUUAGCUACUGAGGACCAAGAGAUUGGAGACGAGGUUGUUAUUCCCUCCAGGGUGUUCCCAAAGGCCAUCUCCACCCAACCUAAGGAAGGCGACUCCAGCCCCAGCACCAAGUAGCAAGGGGCCAUCCAGAACCCCUCUGACUGGUGAUCUAAGUUUUUGCUUGGGCUGUGAGGCAAAGCACUGCAAGGGAAUGUAAAGCAAAAACUAAAAACAUUUUUCUGGGUUCCCUGAGGGACAAGCCUGACUGCAUAGGGGUUGAUAUACAAAAAUUAUCCCCUCUCCAGGAAAAAAGACAUCAGGAUAAGUAUGGUCCCCAUGCUUCACUGGACAACACCAGGAGGAUGGGAGCCAUUACAAGAUCCCCUUUAGUCACUUGAGGUCAGGCCUCUAUCCUUGCCUUAGCAAAGAAUAAAAUCGCCAUGGUCCUUCUAUACUAAAAGGAAGGGGGAGAUGGGAGCCACCCUGUUUAAAUGUUAACUGCCUUAUCAGCCAUAAGUGCUUACUUACAAAGUUUUGGCCUUAGUGGAAAAGUACUAGCUUAGUUGAGAUUUCUGUGGGAAACGUUGAGGCCUCUAUGGGAAAGUACUACCCCCAGUUAAGAACAAAUCUAUAGAUCUUGUGGACAGGUGCCUAGCAACCCAUUCUGUUCUGUUCCUCCUGCUGAACUUUUUACCUAGCCAAUAUCCUGCUUUUGGGAACAGGUGGGUUCCCCCAGAAACAAAGCGAUUCUGCGUCACCCCCUUCCCCAUAUCCUACUUCUAUGGGUAUAAAACCUGCCUGGGAAAAAUAAAAUUUGUCAGCUUGAUCAGA